UCUCCGUUGGUGAACCAGCGGAGGGAUCAUUACCGAGUUUACAACUCCCAAACCCAAUGUGAACGUUACCAAACUGUUGCCUCGGCGGGGUCACGCCCCGGGUGCGUAAAAGCCCCGGAACCAGGCGCCCGCCGGAGGAACCAACCAAACUCUUUCUGUAGUCCCCUCGCGGACGUAUUUCUUACAGCUCUGAGCAAAAAUUCAAAAUGAAUCAAAACUUUCAACAACGGAUCUCUUGGUUCUG
rnacentral:misc_RNA from 1 species